rnacentral:lncRNA from 1 species
UUUUUUUUUUUUUUUUUUUUUUUUGUCUUUUGUCUUUUUAGGGCCACACCCGAGACAUAGGGAGGUUCCCAGGCUAGGGGUCUAAUUGGAGCUACAGCUGCCGGGCUACACCACAGUCACAGCCACGCCAGAUCCGAGCCAUGUCUGUGACCUACACCACAGCUCGUGGCAACGGUGGAUCCUGAACCCACUGAGCGAGGCUAGUGAUCGAACCCUCAACCUCAUGGUUCCUAGUCAGAUUCGUUUCUGCUGUGCCACAGUGGGAACUCAAGUUUAUCUUUUCCUGACUAUUACAACAUAUAUCCACAUGAGAGAAUAUAUAGAAAAUACAGAAAAAUAGAGACAUGAAAUUAAAGUACCCUGUGUCUUAUCAGAAAGCCCCCAAUAUUAUUUUUUUGGUCUAUUUUGUUGGUAAUUUUUUUUCAGUUUAUGUGGUUAAGAUCAUAUCGUGUAUGUAAUUUUUUUUUGGCCACACUCACAGCAUGUGGAAGUUCCCAGGCCAGGGCUUGAACCUGUGCCACAGCAAUGGCCCUGGCUACUGCAAUGACAAUGCCAGAUCCUUAACCCACUGUACCACAAUGGGAACUCCCUAUAAUAUUUUUACUUUGCUUUUUUAUUGUGGUUUAAAUACACAUGACAUAAAAUCUACCAUUUUAACCAUUUUAUUUAUUUAUUUAUUUUUCCUGUCUUUUAGGGCCCCACCUGCAACAUACGGAGGAGGUUCCCAGGCUAGGGGUCGAAUCUGAGCUGUAGCUGCCAGCCUAUGCCACAGAUCACGGCAACACCGGAUCCUUAACCCACUGAGCAAGGCCAGGGAUCGAACUUGCGUCCUCAUGGAUGCUAGUCAGAUUCGUUUCCGCUGAGCCACAGUGGAAACUCCUUAACCAUUUUAAAGCAUACCGCUCAUUCGGCAUUAAGUACAUUCUCAUUUUUGUGCAGCCAUCACCACCAUCCGUCCCCAGAACUUGUUCAUCUUCCCAAACCAGAACUUUGUACGAGCUGCAUCUGUGACCUACACCACAGCUCAUGGCAAUGCCGGAUCCUUAACCCACUGAGCGAGGCCAGGGAUCGAACCCGCAACCUCAAGUUUCCUAGGUGGAUUCAUUUCUGAUGCACCACAAAGGGAACUGCAGUGGUAGCCUACUUUUUUAAAUUUUUAAAAAUUUUUCCCACUGUACAGCAAGGGGAUCAAGUUACACUUACAUGUAUACAUUUUUCCCCCCACCCUUUGUUCUGUUGCAAAAUGAGUAUCUAGACAUAGUUCUCAAUGCUACUCAGCAGGAUCUCCUUGUAAAUCUAUUCCAAGUUGUAUCUGAUAACCCCAAGCUCCCGAUCUCUCCCACUCCCUCCCUCUCCCGUCGGCAGCCACAAGUCUAUUUUCCAAGUCCAUGAUUUUCUUUUCUGAGGAGAUGUUCAUUUGUGCUGGAUCUUAGAUUCCAGCUAUAAGUGAUAUCAUAUGGUAUUUGUCUUUGUCUUUCUGACUCAUUUCACUCGGUAUGAGAGUCUCUAGUUACAUCCAUGUUGUUGCAAAUGGCAUUAUGUCAUUCUUUUUUAUGGCUGAGUAGUAUUCCAUUGUAUAUAUAUAUAAUCACAUCUUCCUAAUCCAAUCAUCUGUCGAUGGACAUUUAGGUUGUUUCCAUGUCCUGGCUAUUGUGAAUAGUGCUGCAAUGAACAUGUGGGUGCAUGUGUCUCUCUCUCUUUUUUAUUUUUUUGGCUUUUUGUCUUUUUUGUUGUUGUUGUUGUUGUUGCUAUUUCUUGGGCCGCUACCACGGCAUAUUGAGGUUCCCAGGCUAGGGGUUGAAUCGGAGCUGUAGCCACCGGCCUAUGCCAGAGCCACAGCAACGCGGGAUCCAAGCCGCGUCUGCAACCUACACCACAGCUCACGGCAACGCUGGAUCGUUAAUCCACUGAGCAAGGGCAGGGACCAAACCCGCAACCUCAUGGUUCCUAGUCGGAUUCGUUAACCACUGCGCCAUGACGGGAACUCCCAUGUGUCUCUUUUAAGUAGAGUUUUGUCCGGAUAUGUGCCCAUGAGUGGGAUUGCGGGGUCAUAUGGAAGUUCUAUGUGUAGAUUUCUAAGGUAUCUCCAAACUGUUCUCCAUAGUGGCUGUACCAGUUUACAUUCCCACCAGCAGUGCAGGAGGGUUCCCUUUUCUCCACAGCCCCUCCAGCACUUGUUAUUUGUGGAUUUAUUGAUGAUGGCCAUUCUGACUGGUGUGAGGUGAUAUCUCAUGGUAGUUUUGAUUUGCAUUUCUCUUAUAAUCAGCAGUGUUGAGCAUUUUUUCAUGUGUUUGUUGGCCAUCUGUAUAUCUUCCUUGGAGAAAUGUCUAUUCAUGUCUUUUGCCCAUUUUUCCAUUGAUUGAUUGGUUUUUUUGCUGUUGAAUUGUAUAAGUUGCUUAUAUAUUCUAGAGAUUAAGCUCUUGUCCAUUGCAUCAUUUGAAACUAUUUUCUCCCAUUCUGUAAGUUGUCUUUUUGUUUUCUUUUUGGUUUCCUUUGUUGUGCAAAAGCUUUUCAGUUUGAUGAGGUCCCAUUGGUUUAUUCUUGCUCUUAUUUCUACUUUUUAAAGAAGAUUAUCUCGCAAAUAUGUUUCUAUACUCUUAGGAUCAUUUUAUGACGGCUUGAUAUUCCAGUGUAUGGCCUGCGUCGUGUUUUACUGAGCUGUAGCCCUAUUGUUGGUGUUUUCCUACUUUUCCCUUGUAGAUAAAGCUUUGAGUAGUGGUUGGGACAUAAAACACUAUCUGUCCUUCUCUAUUUUUUUUUUGUUUGUUUGUUUUUUUCUUUUUGGCUACUCCUGGGGCGUGUGGAAGUUCCUGGGCCCAGGAUCGAACAUGCACCACAGCAGCCUCUGGAGUGACAAUGCCAGAUCUUUAACCUGCUGAGUCACGAGGGAACUCUCAGGUUUUGGUUUGUUUGUCAUCAUUGGUUUUGAUAACCUCCACUACCAUUUUCCUCCUCGAGUCACCUGAUGGAAUGUUGGCUGAAGAGCAGCUGUUGUGGUCUGGGAAUGACCUUCAACUCUGUUAACCUGAGAAUUCACACAGUCCGAAGAGUUGGAAGGGACUUUGGAAGAAAUGCAGUUCAGAUAUAUUAUCUCUUUUUGCUACUUGAAUGCUUCCUGUGAUGGGGUGCUCACCCCACCACCGGGUCAACAAUUCCAUCACUCGACAAUGGUCUUGAGCGUGUUGAGGUGACCAGGGGAAGACGCAGGGAAGUACGUUUCUGGGAGAGGAACAGUCACAGCCACAUUCUCCAGCUUCGUCCCGUGUGCAUCAUCGGGGGCCUUGCUGGGCUGGCCUCUCGGUGGGUGAUCCUGUUUCUGUCACCCCACGCAGCCCCUCCCUGCUUCAUCACUGGUCCACUUCUUUUUUCUGUUUUUUUUUUUUUUUUAUGAAUGAUUUUUAUCUUUUCCAUUAUAGUUGGUUUACAGUGUUCUGUCAAUUUCUGCUGUACAGCAAAGUGACCCAGUCACACAUACACACACAUUUUUUCCCUCACAUUAUCCUCCAUCAUGUUUCAUUUCUUUCUCUUUUUUGGGCUGCACCUAUGGCAUAUGGAAGUUCCAGGGCCAGGGAUGGAAUCCAUGCCUCAGUGGCAACCCGAGCUCUGGCAGUCACAAUGCUGGAUCCUUAACCCACUGAGCCAACAGGGAACUCCACUGGUCCAUUUCUAUCUUUUUUGUUUGUUUUUCUUUUGUCUUUUUAGGGCCACACCCCUCCACCCUAUGCAGGUUCCCAAGCUGGGGGUCAAAUAGGAGCAGCAGCUGCCAGCCCACACCACAGCCACAGCAACGCAGGAUCUGAGCUGCGUCUGUGACCUACACCACAGCUCGUGGCAAGGCUGGAUCCUUAACCCACUGAGCAAGAGCAGGGAUCGAACCUGCGUCGUCAAUGGAUACUUGUUGGGUUCAUCACAGCAGGAACUCCUGGUCCAUUUCUCAAACGUACAUUUCUUUUCUUGGCAUAUGAGCCCAAACCUGUUCCUUGUUCUUUGUCUUGAGUUUUCUAGGAGAUAUUCUGUUUUCAACCCUCCAGGACAGGCAAAGGCAAUGUCUAUAAUUAAGUGUGUCUGUUCUUAAAUUCCACACACCUUAAUGGAUCAUUCCUGCUGAGGGACAUGGAAGACAAGGUGAGGAAGUAAAACCUGUCUCCAACAUCCUAGACAUCCGGCCUGCCCGGUGGGAGGCAGGUGAAAAAAAUCCCCCAUCCACUGAGCUACAACGUACGUCUUUGCCCCAGAACCUCCUGAUCUGCCCCUUCUUGCUUCCAAGGAAGAGCACCUGGGAUUUAAACUGAUACAGAAGUCACUAUCGGUUGUCACCGAUGGCCAAGGACAAGGGUGAUGCAGAGACCAACAGGUAACUU